ensembl:lncRNA
GUUCACUUAGCUGCCUCUUAAUACACAGAUAUCUGGUCUGUGAGCUCGCAUUAGGCAUUCCUUGCAUGCAUACUGAAUAUGUGCAGAAAUGUGCUCAUGCAGGCUUUGAUGUCUGCAGUAUGUAACAUCAUCUGUUCUCCGAUAAAAUUGUCCUCUGAGCUCAGGACCGCAUUUGGGGAUCCUUCUGCCUGCAGUUCUGACUUUGUGCAACAUCUGGGGAGUUUAACAUGUGCUCAGGAGGGCAGCAUGCUAUUAAUUGGACAUUAAGUGGUGGGCCAUGUCUGAGGCCAUUGCACGUUGUAUUAAUUACGGAGUGGCUAAUAACAACCUUCUGCCCCUGGUAUUUAUAGAAUAAUAAAAUCUGUCCCUGACACUGGCCUCACAUCUGGCAAAACUGGCAAACACAUUUUCAUUUACCUCCCUUUCUCAAGCGUGUUAAUAGCUUUCAGAUUUCCAGAGGAACAACUGGAGAUCUUAGAGCAAUACAGACUCAGUGCUAAUGGCUUCAGACUGAAGGCAGAGCUAAGAUUUUCACUUCAAACAGGGCUGGAUCCCCUAUUCCUCCCCUUGCCCUGUGUGACAUGGUGGAUAUGGGCAUGUUGUGCUGGAUGAGAUACUUACAAACACUGCAGUCCUGUUUUGGAAACAUUCCCCUGUGCUAUUACAUCAAAUACAAGCAAGCAUGGCUGUAACCAUUGGUAUUUCCAACCAGUGGGUUUCUGUGGGCUCUGGGACUGCAUCCCUGAGCUGCUGGGUGAUGGGAAAGUUCUGGAGAGCCUGUGAUGACGAGGAGGCAGGGGCUGACACAGAACUGCAGUGGGUGCAGUUCUUGCAGAUGUGGGUGGUCUCCUCCUGCAUGUUCCCGAAUUGAGCAACUUUGAAUCACUGGGGAAAAAGGAAAGAAACCCAUUCAUCCCGAAAUGUUUCCUUGCCUUGCUGUAGCUGCUGAAGAGCAUGGCUGGAGUGUAGCAACACGAAGACAGGAGUAGAAGAAAAUAAGGAAAAUAACCUCUGAAACUGGGAGUCAGGCUGCUGCAGGAAACUGCGAGGGCCUUGGCAUGGCUCUGCUUGGCUGGCAUCGGCACUUCCGGGAAAGGAAUUUUGAACAAAGGGACCUCAAAAGACACCUGGGCUGAUCUGUCACCAAUCAUGGAGCUCAUGAAGGCACUUUCUUCUCCUCCCCUCUUUCACCGGGGUAUUCUCCAUUGAAGCUCUAUGGAUGCCCCAUAGAUUCAGACAGAUGGAAAGAAAUAGCCUUUUUCAUCCGUGAAAUGAAGGAAAAGCAGUCAGCAGUGAGAGCUCAGUGAAGUACUGCAAGGACAGCUGUGGGGAUGCAUUCAUGGGUCAGAUUUUCCAACUCACCUCUGUCACUUUGGAGAGUUCAUUUCUUUUCUACUCUUCCUCCUUCUGCCUUCCAUAGGUUCUAAUUUUAACAGAGAUUGAGCACAAGAAAGGGAGGAAAGGGGAAAGGGCAAAAAGCCAGUGGGGGUGCAGAGGUUAAUUUUGUAAUGAAUUUGGCUAAUGGGAAAGAUACCUUGGAGAAGAUCACUCGAUGGCAAUUUAAAGGCAAUUUCAAAAGCCAAUUAAAGCGUUUUCAAACUCUUCCACCUGUGACUCUUUAAAAUGCUUUUCUGAGCUCUGCUUGCUUGAGUUUGGCUUCUGUGGCAGGAAAACAGACUAAAACCAGAGAUGUCUCCUGCAAAGCAAGUUUGGCGUCAUUGCUGCCUGCUCUAUUUCACUGCAGCCACGGCACCUCCAGCAACCCGCUCCCACAAGGACCUUGCCAAAACAACUAACUAAAUAAAAUUUGCUGCAAAAGCAAUGAAGAACAGAGGGGAAGCCGCCUCCUUUCACAGCCUCUCUAUGUUCUGGUUAUAAAAGGCUCAAAAACAAUGGGGUCAGCUCAGUUUGGAGGGAGCAGACGAAGACAACACUUGCUUUAAUGCGCAGAAUUAUAUCAUCGGCAGCCAGAGGUCACAUCCUGCUGUCUUUUAAAAGAUAACUGCAGCCCCUCUCUGUUUCCCUGCUCCCUUAUAAACCUGGCUCGACCCAUACCCCGUAGCAGCAAGAGCGCACAGCCCAACAUCUUGGAUUAGUUAUGAGUGUCUCAGAUGCGCUCCAACUCAUAUUUCAUAUCAUUCCCCCAGCCAUAAGAUUUGAGUUUGUCACAUUUACUGGAGACUAAAGCACAAACAUGUUUUAUUCAUUAUCUGUCCUCGUCUCCGCAACAAGCACCUGCAAAACAUUUUGGCUCUCGACCGGAGCAACAAGGUUUCAUUAGACAUGACACUUUCUCCCUGGCUUGGAUGACGAAGCUACAUUUUAUCCCUCCACUUCCAGGCUGUGAAAUUGCCUGGAGAUCAUCACCUUGUACGAACGUGGACUCCGGAGACCUCUUGGCUGAAGUGGGAAAAAGGGAUCGAGGUGAUUACGUAGACCUGAUCUCUGCGAUCAGAGGGGUUUGGGGCAGCACUGAGCUGCUUUAGCCUUACAACAUCCAAAAGAAAGCCCAAUUCUGCAUCGUCAACAGGGAAAAAUGCCACGUGGAGGAGCAGAACUGUUGCAUGUUGUCAUACAGGGGAUUUGCAGGAUGUUUGGAGUGGAGAGCCCUUGUUAUUUUGAUUUUAGCCAGCAGCCGAUAUGGGAGCAGUGGUUCAAAGCUCCUCACCGACUCCUCUCUCCUGGCCAAUGAAUAUGGAUUGGAUGCAAAACAGAAGGGCUCACCGGGAGAGGGAGAGAAGCUGUUUGCCUUGCAAAAUUCAUCAGCCCGGUGCUCAGAUGAACGCUGGAAAUGAAGAAGUGAAAUUCAUGUCCCUCCUCUGAGCUCAGCCCAACAGAGCAGAGCACACGCUCUGGACCACGAGCAUCACCCCUUGCACUCCAGCUAUUAAUUUCCUCACAUCUGUUCUGCCAGCCUUCCCUGGGAUGGAGGGGCUGCCAGGAGAAGCCAAGCCACUGAGUUUUAUUCCUUUACAUGGAUCACAUUUAACGCUGCGUUGCUCUCUGCUUGCUGCCCUGCACAUAUGCUCCCCAGGAGGCAUUGUUAUGGUGCUUUCCCUUUAAUUAUCUUCACAAACGUACAAUUUUUCUCUCUUCACCUUCUCUCUUUCAUUUCCAAAGUCUUUAAUCACUUGUUUUCUUCUCGUUUCUUCUUGAUUUUUCUGACAUAUGCAAUAAAAACACCAGUAAAAUAUUCAUGAAGAAGCACUGAUCUCAGGUCUUUGAGAUCUCGCCGAUGGGAUGCGUAUGGCUGUGUAAUUAAAAGAUACUGUCAAUAAAGCAAGAUAUUGUGACACGCUAAUGGCACAGUGCCAUUUGAGGGAGGCCGGGGAGAUGCCAAAUCUGAUUCUGCAGUUAGUGUUCCAGCAGUUAAAGCCAUCAACCCAAGAAGGAAGCAGAGACAUCCCUACGCAAUGUCAGUUUGCGGCACAUAUUUAUUCAGUGCUAAAUACAGAAGCGACCUUUGAAUUAUUAAUAUAUCUCUUUGGAGGGUAAAAGCAUGAUGCAUUCCUUUGUGCCAUGCUUGAAGGGCAUGGUCAGUGGGUGUAGUGGCAAUGCUGAGUCAUGGCCUGCAGCAGUGAUGGAGCACCUGGGGGGAAGGCAGGGCCAGCCCAGGGCAGCUCAGGUGCAUGCAAUGUGCUGAGUGAUGGAAGGGCUGCAGCCAGGAUCCACCCCUUCCCAGUCCUCAUUUAAGGGUUGGCAGUGGAGGUGAGAGGUUCUUGCUGGAGGUCCCUGUGUACCUGAGGCCUUCUGAAGCAUCCAAACUCUCUCAGCUGAGACUCAGUGGACCCCACGGGGCUCUACAAGGGCUUAGAGCAUCUCCACUGCCUUCACUUUUGGAUGGCAGGUAAUAAUUUAUCCCCAAAUAACACCUUGCCAAAUGAAGCUGCAUGCAGCACUCCCCAAAGAGGCAGCCCGUGUUCUAAGACCAAUUGGAAAUUACAACUGCUGUCCCCCAGGACACCACAGCACUUAUUUCAGCCUUGCAGUGGAGAAAGGGGAGAAGGCUGCCAUUAAGGCUCAAACAUUUUGCACCCCGAUGCUCAUCUGAAUCAGGGUGGAUUUUACAAGGGAGGUUUCCUUACUCAUGCAACAAAGGGUACAACUGCCACCUCUUGCUUCCAUUAAAAUACCCCAUUUCCCCAUUAACCCAUCUUUCCCCUGAUCCAUAGGUGAAAAAGAAGGCUGUGUAGCCAACAUCUAAUACUCCCCAGAGCGUGUCCAGAGCUUGACAGCCUUCAAUAGGUUAAUUUUUCAAAGCGGUAAGCUGAUAUUUCUGCAUAAAAUGCACAUCUGCAGGGUAAAUGCUAUUAAGUGUCAGUGAAUUAUGGUCCCAGAGUACAGAUCACUUGAGCCUUAAUGCUACAAGCACCUUAAUGUUUUUUUGAAUGAAGUUUCUGCUAAUUGCUUCCAUAUGAUCGUUUUCUUUUUGCUUCCCUGAGUUUUUGUCCCAGGACAUACAAUGCUACAAAUAACAAGCAGUGAAACUGGAUUAAUAUGGGAUUAAUGCCUGCUCGCUGGUGGGUUUUGGCAUGGUAUUUUUGGCAUAUGGAUAACGAUGGAACUGGAUUAUAUUCCAUUAGAUGUUAGGGAUUACUCUUCUCCCCAAGCUGAAGGAGAAUGAAAGGCAGACCCUCCACUGUGCCCAUCUUUAGCCCCUGUUGAUGCCCUCCUGCUCAGUUAUUCUCAAUCCAAGACUCAGAGGCUGCCCAGGGAGUGGUGGGGUCACAUGCCUUGGGAUGUGAUGCUCAAGGAUACGGUCAGUGAGGAUCUGAGAGGUCUUUCCUGACCUCAGUAAUUCUGUGAUGCUGUGUCCAGUACACCUCCCCAGAGCUCAGACUUCACAAUCACUAAGCUGAAUUCAAAUAGCUGAAAACCAACAGAAUUCCUCCCAAAACUGGCUUUGAUUUACUGGGGGAGAAACAGAGAAGUGCUGCAUGGUGGGACCUCUGAUUUACAGCCUCUAUAUUUUAUGGCUGGGUCCUGGGGGCUUACAGAUAUUACAGUAAAGCCCCAAAGCAGCCGACUGAAUUAGCAGCACUUGAAAUACAACAAAAAGCCCUCGGGCUGCUGGAGGCUUUUGCUGUGUAGAACCCCUUCGUUAAAGCCUGAAUCCCUUAUUCUGGUCAUGCCUGGAUGCACCUCUGUUGUUGAUAACAUGAUUAACCUCUUGUAGGGUAAGAAAGGAGAAGAAGUGGCUCAAAGGAUGCGGGUGAGGAGGCGGUUAUCAGUGCUGGGGUUCAGCUCAGGUCAUGCUGCUGGUGGGGACAGUGACUGGUUGGUAUUUCCCCCCCUCCAAGGAGAGCCAGAAGAGGUAAAAGCAUUUGGCCUUUGGGAAGGCAGAGGCUGUCAGAGGUGCAUUUCUCAGCUCACCAUACGUCAGUGCCUUGUCUUGAAGGGAGAGAGUGGGGUGCUUGCAGAAGUUGGGAGGAUGACUCCAAACUAGAGAAAUCUGUAUCAAAAUCCUUAUGGCCAUCACAGUGGUGUUGAGGUAUCUUCCCCUGGGUGGGAAUGUAAUCGUGGGUCCCAUGGAAACACUGAUUUGAGAUUUUUAUUGCAAACAUUGUCUACCAGGAAUGAAAGAAUGGGAACUGCAGAAGGCAUUUGCAGACCAAAGCCAGGGGAUUUCUUGUGGCUUAAUAUAAACCACAUCCUUUCUCUCACAAAAUAUGCACGUCUGCCAGGAUGACUUUCCAUCCACCUGUGCUUGUGUCACUUCAAAUUGAAACUCCUUCCCCAGAAGAGUGACUCUGCAGAUAUGUGUAUACAUAUGGGACUAUAUUUGCCUGUUUGUUUUAUGUAAUAUCUAUGCAAAAUACUUGUAGUUAUUAGGGGAAAAGCACACAGGAAGGGGUCAGCCUUUUCUGUAAGGGGAACUUAGUUUGGAUUAAGGAAAGGAGUGACCUGAAAGCAGGAUUGCUCUCCCCAAAGACCCCCCUGAUGGAUCCAGGAGUGCUGCACUGCGCUGGUGCCACAGGGAGAGGAUGGGAUGGAGGGAGCUAUGCGUGUUCCCCUCAGCAUCCCCAGCAGGGAAUGGUUCUGGCUGGGACUGGGCUGGUUUGUGUCCAGGUUACAUCAGCUCAGAGCAACCUUGGCUGUAAACAGGAAUAAACACAUCCAUGUAGUAAUUUAUGCAUAAAUUAAUUUGACUUCAGUAAUUAGCCAGAAGGAAGUUUACCCUAACCAGUAAACCUCAGUGGAUGGGGAAUUCAUUAAGCAUCUCUGCUUUGCCAAGUGCAGGGCUAGUUUUGCAAUUCAAAGAUUUCAUUUUUAAAUUGUAUUUUGUUCAGCUUUUGGGUUUAUUUUUUGGCAGGGGAAAAUCUCUCACCUCCAAACUCCAACUCAAUGCAACAGAGAAGAGUCUGCAGCACUGGGGCUAACUCCUUCUCUCAGGGCUUUGCCCAGGAGCCUCAUGGGCUGGUGGUACCCAGACAGCCUCAAAGCAGCCAUGGGCUGCUGACCCGAGCAGCUGGGUGCCCAUGAAGAUGCACUGUUUGCUGGGUGGGCUUCUGGAGAGAGCAGGAUGCUGCGCUUCCCUGCUUUGUGCUCAUCACUGUGGCCCCACAAAUCAGCACAGCCGGAGGCCAGGGAAGAUUUCUUUGAUUGCCUUUUACUUCACUCCAUUGCAUUUCUUACUCAGUUUUCUUGGCUGGAUAUAAAGCCUGGUGCUGGUGGGGUGUAUUGCCAGCAGGGAGCAAGGGGAGCUUGCAACCAGCAGGCAGCAUUGCAAUGCAGCAAGUGGCAGAAACUGAAAUGUGCUUCCGCAAGGACCACACUGAGGAAGAAGAGGGAGAAACUCAGCAAACUUUCGGGGUUAACAUCAGAUCCCACCCUCUUUUGGCUUGUGGGAGAGGGUUGUACGUGCAGGCUGCUGCCAGAAGGCAUCAGAGCACAGUGCAGCCCGGCAGCUUCACUCGGGCUGCAAGAGAGUUGGAGGUCUUCAGCCAGGCACCUCUGGUUUGCUCAGAGGACUGCCUGAUACCCACUGCCAGUUGCAUGGGGGUGAAGGAGGUUUGUGUGUAGAAUGUCUGACACCGAUACAGGUGAGGAGGGAAGCAGUGCCUGGAGGUGCUGAGGUUGGUGAAGACUCUGCAGGAGGGGAGCAGCGCCGGGAGCGGAGCCCUCCCUGCAUCACCUGCACGUUCUCAUCUCGAGAUCCGCGGGGAACGCGAAGAAGCCGCCUUAGGAUGCGGGCAAAGCGUUGGGCAUCGGGAUCUGCUCCGGGCAUCCCCAGGAAGGGGCGGGAGGAGCUGUGUGUGCAUUCCAAGGGCUGCACUGCCACCUCCAGAUGAAAGACCGCACGAUGUCUCUUUCCGUAUGAAUUUCUCAUUGCAGAAUGACGGCGCAUCGAUGUGAGAAACCGGGCGUUUCUAUGAGAUGACGGCAUUGUUUUUUUUCUGCCCUGCCAGAACAGUGCUGUCCUCCUCCUGCAUGGCCAUCUCCUCGCCUAUGAGCAUCGCAUUGCUGCGGGGCAGCUGCGUGCGGGGUUGCGUUGGCCCCGCGCACCGGGAGGUGGCACUGCAGCCGCAGCUUUGCGUGCCUAUGCACAGGUAAAGUGUGUUUUACUGGGAAAACAGUGGGAAGGAGCAAAACGUGGGAGCGUGGAGCAAGGAGGGUUUCCCUGGCACUUGUUUUCCACCUUUGUGAUGCCCUGGGAAAAGUUCUAAGCAAGCAUUUUCCUCCCCAAGUUCUACUCUGCAAAGUGUGCUCCUCAAGCAAAGCACAGAGAGAAGGGUUAUGGGUGCGUUCUACUGGCCUAAAUGGGAUAAAUAAGUAGAAAUGGACCAGGCUGAUGCUAUUGGUGAAAGUGCUGAUGUCUCCUGGAACAGCUCAGCAGUGGUUUUGAAGGCGUUGACAAAUGACACCCAGAAGUGUAGAAAAGAAGAAAACAAACAACGCAACCCCUUUUCUGCAGCUCCCCUGGGAGGAGUGCAAAAGUUGGGAGAUGCAUCAAAUUUCCAUCUCGUAUCAUUCUAACUGUUCUGGGUAAUGGGCCACAAGUCACCACUGACUUAAUGUCAAUCUCAGGGUGAAAUAUCCAGGCAAUGAGACAUGAUGGAGGAGGCUGGUGAGCCAUCACUGCACCUAUGGGCUGUCACGUUGCCAUUGAGUGCCCGCCAGCUUUUGUUGAAUGGAUGAAACUCAUCCACUUUGGCAAGCAUCCUUAAAGUAGGAUAGAACUAGGAGGGCCUGUUGGAUGCAGGAGAAAGGACCCAAGGAGAUGGGGAGCUGUCAUAGAUUCCAUUACAAAAUGGUGUGGAGAUGCCUCUGAAUCUUGGUCAUCCCCAACCUCAACCAUCCUCAAUCUCAAUCCUCAACAUUUCCAAGCAGGAAAGAAGAGCAGGAAAACU